GCUGUUAAGGGUUCGUAGUUGGUUUCAGGGUAUGUGGGAUGGUGGCGACUCAAGGGUCACAUGCCACCGUGUUCCCCUGCUCUGUAAAGGCGGAACCGGAGCCCCGCGGAGCCUGCCUUUUUGGUUGGGUGAUGCAACUUUCGCAUGCAACUCAUGCAUACGGGCCGUCCGCCGUUAUUCUGUGAGCAAAACAGCGUGUCCAAAGCGGGCAGUCUUGCCCUGAAUGAUAAAGCAUGGAUAACAAUGGAUCGCACGAAGGUCGCUCCUUUUGUUGGUUUUUAAGCCCCAUUCGUACAUUUGAGGCGCGUGUCCCAUCGCAGCGCUCAGUUCGUGAACUACGGGGAUCGACGCUGUGCCGCUGCGCCUGGGCUGCGACUUCAGAGGGAUCAACGGGGACUGUCGGGGGAAGACGUUUGGAACGUCAGAGGUGAAAUUCUUAGACCGUUCCAAGACGAACUUCUGCGAAGGCAUCUUCCAGUAUGUCUUCGUUAAUCAAGAACCAAAGUGUGGAGAUCGAAGAUGAUUAGAGACCUUGUAGUCC
rnacentral:rRNA from 1 species